GUUCACUCACAGACAGCAAACCAAGGGGUUGUGCUGUCUCCUUGUCUCCCAGGGAUAAACCCACAUGACAGUUUACAAAAACAGGUAAUCAUAAGAAGCAAAUGGCCCAGAUGAAACACAGCAAAAGAAUGAGAAGUGGUAACACUGGGAGUGAAAUUUGAACCAAGCGUAAAUGGAGUGAUCGUAGAAAUAGCUGACUGUGGAAUGUGGACACUCUCUGUAUCUGCAGCCUGGGAAGCUUAAAGAAGGUGAACUUACUGACACCAGUUAGAAAGUGACUGUGAUGAAACGAUGAAGAUGCUCCAGAGGAAGUGACACCAGCAAUAGGAAAAAAAAAACAAACCUCUCACUGAAGGAACUCUCGGAGAUAUUUCAUGACACAGAAGGCACAAAGGAUACAAUAUUGGCAACUAAUCGAAACUUAGAAAUGAUAUGACAGCUCACCAAGGCAUAGAAAAAGAUGCUUGCUCUAUCAUAAGUUAUAGAAUGAGAAGAAGAGACGGAGUCUCACUGUGUCGCCCAGGCUGGAGUACAGUGGCAUGAUCUCGGCUCACUGCAACCUCCACCUCCCGGGUUCAAGUGAUUCUCCUGCCUCAGCCUCCCACGUAGCUGGGAUUACAGGUACAUGCUGCCACGUCCGGCUAAUGUUUUGUAUUUUUAGUAGAGACAGAAUGGUCUCGAUCUCCUGACCUUGUGAUUCACCUGCCUCGGCCUCCCAAAGUGCUGGGAUUACCAGCAUGAGCCACCACACCCAGCCUGCAAUUUAUUUUUUAAUAGAUAUCCAUCCUAGCGUUUUCCAGGACCUGAAAGCUUUCAUGAAAAAAUAAAUGUAUUAAAUAUCUUCUAUGUUUGAGGAGCUGUAAUAGAUUUGGGGAAUAUAGAAAUGUUGCAAAUGCUUAAUUUUCAGUCUAGUAUCCUGUAAAAUGUUGUGUUUCUGGUAAUGCUUGGGAGAUUUUAUCAUUUUGGAAAUGCUUUUGCUUAAUUAGAUUCGCUAGUGUUCUAGGAGCCAAGGAUUCACAGACUGCACUUUUAAAGGGAUGAUAUUUUCACAUUUCCUUAGUACAGUUCUUUUAGUAACAAUAUUUAUAUAAAAAUUAUUAUGACGUGUGAGUCAUAAUAUUUGUUUUAAUUCUCAAAUUACCUGGUAACCACUGUUAAUAGUUUGGUAUAUAAACACUAAGAGAGCCAGUAAGUAAUUUGUUGUAUUUACAUUUGUACUUUUCUCUGUGCUAUUACACACACUUACACACACACACACAUACACAUCUCACAUGUACAUAAAUAGGUUAAAAUUUAUAUCCUUUCUUCCAAGGAAAAUGAGAUUAUCCUAUAGACAGGUGUCUGAAACUUGCUUAUUCACCUGUGAGUACAUCACAAGUAUCUCUUCAAAUUAAUACAUGAAUAUCUAACUCACUAUUUUUAAUAGCUGCAAAAUAUUUCUCAGUAUGGGAAGAGCAUAAUUUAUUCAAUGAUCUCGCUACUGAUGGACAUUCACAUUUAAAUUUUGUCUGUUUUUUUUUAACCCCUAUAAACGAAACUACAAUAAACAUUCAUGUGUGCACACACAUACAUGGUAUAUUUUUGUGGAUAGCCUCUGUAGCUGACUCUUCAACAUCCACUCCCAGAUAAACAGUCAAAGCCAAGGAUAAUUCUAUCCCUUUGUUAACGAUUGGUGAUAAAUGGACAAAUGUCCAUGAUAAAUGGACCCAGUUCUGGACAGUGAAUGUGAGGGGAAGUUGAUCAUGGAAGUUGUGAGAUAUGAUUCAUAAAACUGCUUCAAGGCCGGGCGCGGUGGCUCACGCCUGUAAUCUCAGCGCUUUGGGAGGCCAAGGUGGGCAGAUCACGAGGUCAGGAGAUCAAGAACAUCCUGGCUAACACGGUGAAGCCAGUCUCUACUAAAAUUACAAAAAAUUAGCUGGGUGUGAUGGCCCAUGCCUGUAAUCUCAGCUACUUGGGAGGCUGAGGCAGGAGAAUAGCUUGAACCUGGAGGCAGAGGUUGCAGUGAACCAAGAUCGCGCCACUGCACUCCACUCCAACCUGGGCAACAGAGCAAGACUCUGUCUCAAAACAAAACAAAACAAAAAAAAACACCUGCUUCAAACACCAUGUUCCAACUCAAAGAUAAAAAUGACAAGGAGGGUAAAGAAAAGAGAAAGAGCCGGGAUACUCAAUGACAUUUUGGCACACUGAAUUAACCAACCUUAGCGUCUACUCUGUUUUCUGGGCUUCCUUUCAGGUGAGAGAUACAUUUCUUACUAUUUAAGCCAAUUUAGUUUUUCUGUUUGUUAUAGCAAAGAACACAUCCUAUCAGACAUACCUCAUGUAUAGUUUUAUUUCUGUGACAAAAAUUUCCAAAAGAGGGUUUGCUGUAUUUUUACUGUAUUUGAGUCUGACAGAUUACAAUCCAAAAAUACUGUAACAAUGCAUACUUCUAUCAGCAAUGGUAUAUAGGAAUGCCUAUUUUCCCCAUACUUUCACAAGGAAAGGAAAGUAUCAACUAUAUGAAUUGUAAUUCAGUUUCAAGUAAUAGGUAACUAACCCAAAGGGGCUUAAAUUUAAAAGGGAGGUUAUUUGGCUCAUAUAACUGAACAGUCCAAGAGUAGAUGUGUAUUCAGAUAGGGCUUGGUUCACAAUAUAUGUGAAUCAAUCCAUGGAACAGAAGAAUUAAUGCAGGACAAGGAAAAAGAAAUAUAUAAAUAUAUAAAAAUAUAUAUAAUAUAAAAUAUAUAAAUAUAUAAAUAUAUAUGUGCACAUGUGACACCACUAUUUUAAAUUUUUCCCAAUAUAUGAAAAAUAUGGCAUUUUACUAGCAUUUUUCUAAGCAAAGUUAGUCGAAGUGAGAUUUGAAUACAAAUCAAAUGACUCAGAAAUUCUUUUACCUAUACCCUGUAUUAUAUCCUUCACAUCAGCUCCAUUUGAAAUCCUGAACUAUAGAAAGCCAUGAAAGAAAUAAAAUACUGUCUAGCAGUUCUAUGAAGAUUACAAAAGAUUUAGAAAUUCUGCCUGGGAAAACUUAGUGAUAUGCUAAAUUUUUACAGCCUAUAAAAUAAUGUAUCUUCUCAAGAACAAUUAAGGGUUUAAUUGUUGCCUUUUGUUGAGGAAGAAUCAUGGAAAGAUAUUGAGUAGCAGGCAGAGGAAAGGAAUCAAAUUAGAGCCAGAAGGAAUCAGUUUAGUCACAAAAAUUCUGUUUCUCAACAGAAAAGGUCCCACACAGGGCUGGGUGUAGUAGGUCUGUGUUGCUUGUCUGCCCUGCACCCUCCUCCGGUUCACAUGGUCCUGAUGGAAUUGUGAAAGAUUGCCUCAUCAUCCUCAACUCGAGAGCCAUCAUGUGACCCAGGCCAACCAAUCAAUAUGCCCCAUCCCUCUGGUCAUAGUGAAUGGUUCUAAGAUGGGCAUGUGACAUAAGUGGAGCCCAUUAGAAUCCUCCUUAGGACUUUUCUGCCAGAGUAAUUAGAAGAGAAUAUCUCUUUUCCAUUGGGGUUGAUAGCCUGUCAUCUUCAUGAAGCCAGCUGUAGCCCUGAAUUUCCAAUUCGUGUGGUCAACAAAUUUCUUAUUUUGCCAGGGUUGCUUUGUUCAGUUUUCUGUUCUCCAACAAAAUGUUUUUAAGCAAUAUUGUGGGUCACUCACAAGUCUGUUGUUGCUCCUUCUUCUGAGGCUAUUAAUAUGAGAGAACUUAUGUGCAGAAGGAGGAUGGUCAAAUGACACCUCUAGAGGUUGGUUGCAUCUCAUCAGGGAUCUGUCUGAUGGUGGAUGUAAUGGAAAUAAAAGAGAAUGCAGGGCUGGUGUGAUUCUCACUUCAAAUUCCCAGAAACUCAUUCAUUGACCCCACAUUCUUUAAAUACGAUUUCAGAACUCAUAGGUGAGACAUAUUUAAGUGAUUUACAAUACAUAAUGAAUAAAGCUAUAAUCUUUUUUUCCUUUGAGAAAAAAAAGAAAAGAAAAGUUGAUUCCUAUUUACAAUUAUUCACACAAACCAGAUUCUGGACCAAGUGUCAACUGCUGUGUGAUUAGCCAAAAGAGUACUUCUUAAACAGUCCUUUCUAAAACUCAGCUAGUCAAGCCAAUUUAUCCAUCAGGAUGUGAGUUGGAAGCCAGGCUAUGAUGGUUAGAACCAUAGCCAAAUUAAAGCCUUUCUGAGAGCCUUUGUAACUUGGGGUUUGAAGGGAACAGAAGGAGCUGAACUGAGCUCUAACCCGAAGGUGUUUAGAUUCUAUGGAGAAGGAGAAUAACGUCAGACUAUGAUAAGAAUGGCCACCAUUUGUGGAGCUGCUUCUACAGGCUAGGUACACUGCACGUUUUAUCCCAUUUAAUCCUCACAACGAUUUUGUAAAGGAGGCAUAGUUAACCCAUGAGUAUUCACAUGGGGAAACUGAGGCUCACAGAAAUCAAGGUUUGUCCAGAGUUACAUAACUGGUACAUGAAGGAUCUAGGCGUCAUGUUCAGUUCUAGCUUGUCCAAGGUCUGUGCUUUGGGUCUCUUCCCUAAACUCCAUGUUUUUCUCACAGCGUUAUGUGGCCAUCUACAGCUGAGUUUAUUAAGUUUUGACUUAAGGCAUUCCUUCCGGAACUAGAUUUCUAGCCAAGACCUCUGAAGGAAUCAGAUUGCAUCCACAGUUACUACAGUAUUUCUUGGUCUUCUCUUCCAGAAGGGUGUUCUUCUAGAGGAACUGUUUACUGACUUGAAAUGCUGUUAUAAAAUCUCAGUUCAAAGGUUGUGUAUCUCCCAGGAAACAAAUGGCUUUUUUAUUCUUCGCCACUAGCUUAACACUGCAUUAUAGCUGCUCAUAACAAGUCAUGGUAUGCUAAUUUAUGAGUCACAUGACACAGUCAAUUCAUAUUAUAGACAUUGCCCUGAUUAUAUGUCUCCUUAACUGAAAUGUUUACAUAGUUGUGAUGGAAUCAAUUUUAUUAAUUUUACAGCAUUCACAGGUUUCUCCUCUUCCCAAGACUGCCAGAGAGAUCCUGUAAUUACCUGCCCGGUUUUUCUUCUUAGGAGACAUGAGAAAAGAAUAGAAUUCCUCCAAUUAUUUUCUGCUUGUUUGUGCCUCUGUAAAUUUGACUCUUCUCAGAGAUGAAACCACCUGGGACACAGCUUCUUUAGAGUUGCACAGUGACACCUGCAAAUAGUUAGCAGUGCACCAGGUACAGAAGCACACACACCUGGUGGCAGGGCAAGAUGGGGUGAUUCCUGGAGCCAGAUCAUCCCUGAUGUGUUCCUUGCAGUGUUAUCAGGGGGAUUACAGGAAAUAACAUACACAAAAAACUGUUUCUUAACUGCAAAGCACUGUGCAAACGUGAGCUGUUAAGCCAGGUGGUGUGUGCAAUGGAGAUCACCUUUUGCCGGGGGGUAAUCAUUUCAGUUUACAUAACACUUAUCACUCCAGGAGCCCCAAGCCCUUGUGAAUAUUAUCCUGAGAAAUAUCACUUGAAAUGAAAUGCGCAUGCAUAAACAGAGUCUAGCAAAUGGAGGCACCAAUUAUGAUGACAAUGACGAAGGUCUUAAAUGAGAACAUAAACAUUUUGACAUGUCAGCUCCCAAGGAUGUUGCCACUGUAGUCACAACACCUUCUGAGGGAAAAUCAAUUCUCAACGUUAAUGUUUCCCAUGAGUGUUGACUCCUCGGGGGAUGGGGGAGGAAGAGGGAAACAAAAGUGGAAAAACAUUUUAAAAUAUGAAUUUUAUUUUCCAUAGCAGUAUAUCAGAAAACUCAAAUAUAACUCCACAACUUUUUCAAGAGUUUCUUUUUGUUUUCCAAUGGUAACGGGAGAGAAAAUAAGCUGUCAUUAUCGGAAUGAUCAAACACAGAGAGAAAAGAGGCAGAGGUGAGAAGAUGGAGAAGAUGAAUACAUUUGCUUUCAGCAAACCAAUGGAAGUCCAUUUGCAUGAUCUGAAAAGGAAAAUGAGAAGCUAAUUUUUCUAUACAAGGCAGAAUUUAAGAAAUACAAUUCCUAAGGACUCCAGUGGAUACAGCUCUGGUUCCUGGACUUCGUGUUUUGGCUUGGUCUUUCUGCUUUUUCAAUUUUGUCACUGGUGUGAUCCAGAGAACAUGCCUUUCACUGUGAAAACCAGCACCUUCAAGGCCAGGCGCAGUGGCUUGCGCCUAUAAUCCCAGCAUAUUGGGAGGCCGAGGUGGGUGGAUCACCUGAGGUCAGGAGUUCAAGACCAACCUGACCAACAUGGUCUACUAAAAAUACAAAAAUUAGCCCGGCAUGGUGGCGGGCGCCUAUAAUCCCAGGUACUCGGGAGGCUGAGACAUGAGAAUAGCUUGAACCAGGGAGGCGGAGGUUGCAGUGAGACGAGAUCACACCAUUGCACUCCAGCCUGGGCAACAGAGCAAGACUCCAUCUCAAAAACAAACAAACAAACAAACAAAAACACCACACAAAACCAGCACCUUCCACAGUGUCUAGCAUACGUUAGUCACCAAAACAGGUUUGCUAAAUGAACAAAUGAAUGAAUGGCAUUUUAUGUGUCAGUAAAUAUGCUUCAAAAUCAUGAUGUAUGAUGAGUAAGCAACUCUAUCAAAUAAAUAUAACGUAAUUUGCUGUGAGCACAUAAUUUGCUGUGUUCUAGUAUUGAACAGUUGGACUAUUUCCAUAUUUUAAUUUUUACUAUUAUGUUUGAGGAUGAUAUAUAAAUCUU
rnacentral:lncRNA from 1 species